rnacentral:rRNA from 1 species
GGACUACUGGGGUAUCUAAUCCUGUUUGCUCCCCACGCUUUCGUGCAUGAGCGUCAGUGUUAUCCCAGGAGGCUGCCUUCGCCAUCGGUGUUCCUCCGCAUAUCUACGCAUUUCACUGCUACACGCGGAAUUCCACCUCCCUCUGACACACUCUAGCUCGGUAGUUAAAAAUGCAGUUCCAAAGUUAAGCUCUGGGAUUUCACAUCUUUCUUUCCGAACCGCCUGCGCACGCUUUACGCCCAGUAAUUCCGAUUAACGCUUGCACCCUACGUAUUACCGCGGCUGCUGGCAC